CAAAGCCCCGGCUCCCUCGGAGGAUCGGGGCUUUCUUGUUUGUAAAACAGGACACAGGGGCUUUAGGAGCUCAGACACAAACGGAUGCAAAAGCCUUACAGAGGGUUCAGGAGAGAGGAGACAGGACUUGAGUGUCACUUCCCCUCCUGCUGUCUUGUGGCCCUGCCAUGCACUGUGGCAAGUCUUCUGUUAUCUUCCGCCUGAGAGGCCGUGACUAAGAAGGUUCCAGACUUCCCGUCUAUCAAAGAGGAUGGAGGGAGAAAGGGCUCAGAAGGAGAAGGAAAAAGAAUAAGGGCAUUGGCCCCAGUCCAGAUGAAAAGACCCAGAUGCAAAAUUAUUUGGGCCACAUAUGUGUUGUUUGCUUAUCAAAUUUUCAACCUUUGAAAAAUCACAAUAUUGGAUGGUUGGAAUCAGUAGCAUUGCUGGAGUUCCUGUGGGUGGUAGCAGUUGGACAUUGUGGCAGGUGACCCUGCAAAGGAUAAACACAGAACCUGCAGAGGGUAAAGGAUUUCCCAAGUCUCACUCCUGGAGGGAGGGGCACAGGCAUGAGCAGCCUAUUGGGCCCCAUGUCAUGCAGCUAUGUUCUCUGCUGCUGGUGAGCUUGGCAUCGAAAGAAAACAUAGCAGGAAUGAUUUUGCCUGGGUUGGGGAUUUGGGGGAGUUGAGACUAUAAA
rnacentral:lncRNA from 1 species